rnacentral:lncRNA from 1 species
GUGGGAGAAGAAGGAGAAAAUAUCGAAGAAGAUGAUCGAAGAUAAUCCCACUGAGUACUCCCUUAAGAACAAGGGUACUGCGAAGACACAGCCCCUUCCUCUAGCGCUAAUUCUAUUGAUGCAGAAUUUUGCCGACGUCGGAGAAGCUGGAGUCGAGGAGAUCGCGUCCGCCAUCGAAACCUGCAAAAGAAGUCUAAAUCGAAGUUGGGGGUGCUCCGACAAGACCCUCCG